UGAUGAUGCUUUGCCAAGUUAUCAAACCUCUCAAAUAAUCACAAAUACAGAGAAUUUCGAUUUGUCUGUUGAUAGUCCCUUUGGCUUAGACUUCAGCGCUAUACCGGAUUUUAAUAAUAUUUUGGAAUUGGCGCCAGAUUAUGCCACAAAAAUGGAUGAUGCGACGGCUGAUGGUAUUCUACGGGAUAUAUUGAACAAACCUGAUUAUUGUCACAACACCUCUAUACAGAACAGCAAUGUUGUUGAUGAGCAACCGUUUUUACCACACGCGACAGGGGGUC